rnacentral:rRNA from 1 species
GACGUAGGGCGCGAGCGUUGUCCGGAUUUAUUGGGCGUAAAGAGCUCGUAGGCGGUGUGUCGCGUCGGCCGUGAAAACUUGCAGCUUAACUGUGGGCGUGCGGUCGAUACGGGCAUCACUGGAGUUUGGCAGGGGAGACUGGAAUUCCUGGUGUAGCGGUGAAAUGCGUAGAUAUCGAGAGGAACACCUGCGGCGAAGGCGGGUUGCUGGGCUGACACUGACGCUGAUGCGCGAAAGCUAGGGGAGCGAACGGG